rnacentral:lncRNA from 1 species
UUUUCUUGGGAAUUCCAUCAAGAAGGUCUGCUCUGCCUAUCACCACAGACUCUAGUCUUCAGCUGGGGCAGAACCCCCUGUGCCUUACUAUUUGCCACUUGUCAAGUCCACAAUGAUAUUGGCAAGUCAGCACCAGGUCUGAACUCUACUCUCUUUGUGGGAGAAUAGAUCAAACGGGCCUUGACUGCCUGCCAAGAUUAAUUUGAAUUCUUCCUGUGAUAAGAGAUGGGCGAAGAGGAGUCACUGAUGUGUUUUAAGUAUGAAUGGAGCAAAGCUCACUAUCAUUUUGGCAUCAAUGUGGAGAAUGGAUGGAGGAGGAUGAUAUUUGUUAGAAGACUGCACAAGAUUCCAGUUGAGGAACGGGAACUCUUUUCAGAAGACUUUGCUUUUUCUCAUAAGCUGACCCAGAAAAUCAAGUAUCUGGCCCCUUUUACCCCUGUGAUGGAGGAGAGCAUUCUUGGGAAUAGAUGUCAAGUGAACCAACCUGUGGGAUUUACCUCUAUUAGGGAGGCGACUACUUCAUGUAACUGCAGUGGUCUUUAUUAUUUAAAACACUGA